UACGAAGGGGGCUAGCGUUGUCCGGAAUUAUUGGGCGUAAAGAGCUCGUAGGCGGUGUGUCGCGUCGGCCGUGAAAACCUGCAGCUUAACUGUGGGCGUGCGGUCGAUACGGGCAUCACUGGAGUUCGGCAGGGGAGACUGGAAUUCCUGGUGUAGCGGUGAAAUGCGCAGAUAUCAGGAGGAACACCGGUGGCGAAGGCGGGUCUCUGGGCCGAUACUGACGCUGAGGAGCGAAAGCGUGGGGAGCGAACAGG
rnacentral:rRNA from 1 species